rnacentral:rRNA from 1 species
AGAGUUUGAUCCUGGCUCAGGACGAACGCUGGCGGCGUGCCUAACACAUGCAAGUCGAGCGAUGAAGUUUCCUUCGGGAAAUGGAUUAGCGGCGGACGGGUGAGUAACACGUGAGCAACCUGCCUCAAAGUGGGGGAUAGCCUUCCGAAAGGAAGAUUAAUACCGCAUAAUAUCAGAAUUUCACAUGAUUUUCUGAUUAAAGGAGUAAUCCGCUUUGAGAUGGGCUCGCGGCGCAUUAGCUAGUUGGUGAGGUAACGGCUCACCAAGGCGACGAUGCGUAGCCGACCUGAGAGGGUGAUCGGCCACAUUGGGACUGAGACACGGCCCAGACUCCUACGGGAGGCAGCAGUGGGGAAUAUUGCGCAAUGGACGAAAGUCUGACGCAGCAACGCCGCGUGGGUGAUGAAGGUCUUCGGAUUGUAAAGCCCUGUCUUCGAGGACGAUAAUGACGGUACUCGAGGAGAAGCCACGCUAACU